GACGAACCGUGCGAACGUUAUUCGGAAUCACUGGGCUUAAAGCGCGUGUAGGCGGGUCGGCACGUCGGUCGCUGAAAUCCCCCGGCUCAACCGGGAGGGUCAUUCGAUACUGAUCGACUCGAAGGCAGGAGAGGGUGGCGGAACUCCUGGUGUAGUGGUGAAAUGCGUAGAUAUCGGGAGGAACACCAGUGGCGAAGGCGACUACCUGGCCUGUUCUUGACGCUGAGGCGCGAAAGCUAAGGGGAGCAAACGGGG
rnacentral:rRNA from 1 species